rnacentral:rRNA from 1 species
UCCUACGGGAGGCAGCAGUGGGGAAUAUUGCACAAUGGGCGCAAGCCUGAUGCAGCCAUGCCGCGUGUGUGAAGAAGGCCUUCGGGUUGUAAAGCACUUUCAGUCGUGAGGAAGGUAGUGUAGUUAAUAGCUGCAUUAUUUGACGUUAGCGACAGAAGAAGCACCGGCUAACUCCGUGCCAGCAGCCGCGGUAAUACGGAGGGUGCGAGCGUUAAUCGGAAUUACUGGGCGUAAAGCGCAUGCAGGUGGUUUGUUAAGUCAGAUGUGAAAGCCCGGGGCUCAACCUCGGAAUAGCAUUUGAAACUGGCAGACUAGAGUACUGUAGAGGGGGGUAGAAUUUCAGGUGUAGCGGUGAAAUGCGUAGAGAUCUGAAGGAAUACCGGUGGCGAAGGCGGCCCCCUGGACAGAUACUGACACUCAGAUGCGAAAGCGUGGGGAGCAAACAGGAUUAGAUACCCUGGUAGUCCACGCCGUAAACGAUGUCUACUUGGAGGUUGUGGCCUUGAGCCGUGGCUUUCGGAGCUAACGCGUUAAGUAGACCGCCUGGGGAGUACGGUCGCAAGAUUAAAACUCAAAUGAAUUGACGG